UCCUUUAGUGUAAUCAACGGAAUAAAAUUUAGCUUGAGCAUAACCACGUACAAAACGAAAAGCCCCAGUUCCACCAACAAUGGCCAUUUCUCUAACAGGUUCACUCAUGAUCAUAUUUCUACCCAAUAUGCUAAGUGUGCUUCCAUUGAAAUGUCCAUCAGUGAAUGUCAUGGUCAUCACCAUCAUUAGUCCCAUCUCCUCUUGUGAUAUAGAGGUGUAAAUUCCUUGAGCCUUACCCACAAGUUUUGAUUCACGUUCGGGUCCAGCCGUCAAGGGGUCAUCCAUCGCCACAACUGUCCCGAAUGGCAAGGCAUUUUUUACCUUGCCAUUGGGCUCAGCUACAAAUACCAUGCUAGGUUUUGGUCCUGACACGAUGUCGUGAAAGUAAAAAUGAAGGUGAGUGAAUUUCUCUUCUUGAAAACCCAGCAUUGUUGGGGAUAGGCUUUUAUAGUAAUUAGUGGCAGUGGCAAGGGAUAUUAUGGAGACGAAAGUAAGGUUCAAAGAAAUGAGAAUUGUGGAACAUGAUGAGAAUUUUGCCAUGGUUGAUGUGAAUGAACUAAGAAUGCUUUUUGUUGUUGUUGUUGAGGAUCGGAUAAUGAACUUAUAAGAAUGCUAUUACUAUGAAAAAUGUCUCUGAUCCGAUCAGUGGUAUAUUUCAAUUGGUUUGGAUACAUGCCUAUUUAUAUAAUAGGUGUGGCUGCUUCUUUCAUUUGUUUAUAAUAUUAUCUGUCUCAAGCUGAUGUUUCUUGACCAAAAACUUUAGAUAUAUGUCAAAAUACGGUAGAAAAAUGACAGACGCCAGAAACAUGUAAAAUGUUAGUUUUCUUAGCAAACGAAGCAUCCGAGAAAUAUAGUGAAAAAUUUAUAAGCUCAAUCAUAUUUUCUCAAAUUAAUUAUUAUUUUUUAGUAUAAAAUAAUUUGUCGUGUAAUCAAUAUGCUGAAACAAUUCUUCAUUGUUUGUGAGAUUAUGAAUUCGCAACCAUUUUCUGGAAAUCUAUUGGUUUUGUGGACCACCUAUUCUACCAAGGCGAUGACUUAUAAUAUGACUGGUUGCGGUAAGGAACGAUUGGCACCACUAUUUUUCUAUUUCUGGCUGCUUGUUGGUGGUUGUGGCGUGAGAGAAAUAAGUUGUAUUUUGCAAAUGAAUUGGUGUCUUCCUUCACCUUAAGGCACACCACUUUUAAUUAUAUGCUCAGUUGUUAUCGAAGUGUUUCCUUAAACAGGGGCAUGAAUCUGCCACGAGGUCGGUAAAGUGGAAUGUGUCCUAUGUGAAUGGCAUGAUUUUAUAUGUUGAUGGGUGCAGUCUUGGUAACCCCGGUGUCUCCGGGUUUGGCGGUUUGCUUCGUAAUGAUGAUGGUGCUUGGUAUUGCGGAUUUGCAGGUAAGAUUGGGUUUUCCAAUAUCCUGCAUGCAGAACUCUUGGCAGUUUAUCAUGGAUUGAGAUUGGCUUGGGAAUUUGGCAUGUCAGAGUUGGUGUGUUAUUAAGAUUCUAAAACAGCAAUCAAGUGGAUUAAGCAACCUGUUAACGGAAGGUAAUGUCUGUGUUGAUUACCUUGCAAAGAUUGAGGCUAGCUCUCAUGAGGCACGCCAGUCUUUUGUUGCACCUCCAGCUGGAAUCAGCAACCUCCUACUAGCAAAUGCGAGUGGGAUCUUUUUCCCUAGAUAGUUGUUUCUUCUUUUUGUUUUUCUUUUUGCAUUUUGUUACCAAAAAAUAAAUAAUGAUUUGAUAUGAGUAAAAUCAUUUAGGAUAAUUUUCAUUUCUAAAAAAAUGGGAUGACAUUAGUUAUAAUUGGGAAAGAAAAGUUAAAAAGUUUUGUAUUGAUCAAGAAUUCAAGACCCUCUCUAUUUUUUAAAGAAAUUGUGGGCUCUAUUUAUGAAAUGGAAAUACGCACUCAAGAAUUUAGUGGAUCUCAUAUUUAGCUGGACCUAUAUUUUGUGACUCAUCAAACUCCUUAAUGUGAUUUUUUCCGCUCAUUAACGAAACCAUCCAUUUCUUUGAGAAAUAAAGAUGAUAUUUUUACCAUCUUAAUCCAUUUGAUGGUACCCACCAAUUAAUAUCAUUUUUCGUGCUGAUAUAUCUUCAAAUGGAAUCAUUAAUUUCGUUUGAGAAAUGGAUAUGACCUUGUUGGAGCAAUAUUUAAGAAUGGUUCAAAAGUAUUUAAGCUACCGAGAAAAAUUACUGCCAUGAGUCGUCGACUAGGACACUCUUUUUAAAACUAUCAACUAUGACAUCCCAAUAUAAAACAACACAUCUACAAUUGUAUUUGAAUCAUACUACAUUGUAAGAUACUAAGAUCCAUUCUAGAAAUACACCUUUAAAAUGGUACUUAGACCACUUAAUAUGAUACCGAGACCACUCUAACUUCCGAAGGAACAAAUUAAUCGAAGGGGCAGAAAAGGAGAAGAAAGAAAAUCCGUUGAUAGAUGAGUUUUGGUGUGAAGAGAAGUUAGGGUGAGACAUUAUUUUAUUAGUGCAAGAGCCAAAGAGGCAACCAAAAUGGAGGGAUGGGAUCAGUUGACCAUCAUGGGAUCAACGACAUGAUCUCACCUCAUUAAGAAUUGGCGCAGAAAUGAGUUUGCAUUUGCAAAUCACAAGAGGACAAGAGGACUCACACGUUGGUGUUUUCAAACACAUGUUGAUGCGUGCAAACCUGUGACGAGAAGAAGACAUGUACCAAAUAAAAUUAAUUCCAAAAAAUUAAUUAAUUUAAGAUUUCGGAUCUUUAAAAAAUAAUACACAACUUAGUCCAAACUCAUGCCCAGAUCCGACCUGACGACAUCAUUGUCUUCACGUGUGUAGUGUUGAAAUUGAUUGCAUCAUCUCCCCUUUAAAAAAUUGGAUAUCUCUUUGGGGCAAGCCCCAAGAGCCCUUCCUCCAAUAUAUAAAUACUUGUGUUGUGAGAAGUAUCUCCAAUGUGGGACUUGUCGAAAUUUUUUAAUUCACACACAAACACACUUUUGUUCUUAAUUCAAUUUUUCACUUGAAUUUAAAAUAACUCGGAAGUUUCUUUUAAGAUUGUGCAUAAGUAGAUGUGUUUUGCAACUUGAACAAUUGUAUAGUGAAUAAGAUUCAGAUUUAUUAGAGUGACUCGUAAUCUUAAACUCUAUCUCUAAUAUCAAAACGUACACAAUAUUUUCUUAUGUGUAUUUUCAAAAAGUUUGUCCAUUAAGACCUUACAUAUCAAUCUUGAUUUAACAAAUGCUCUACGAAUUUUUCCUAGAAUUUCAUAGGAAUAGACCCUGACUUGCACAUUCACAAAGGUCCGUAUGUCAAGAGUACUGCUCUUAUAUCAGAGUAUUCCACUUUGCGUAAAUGUACGUAUGUCAAGGGUACUCUUGUAUCAAAGUACUCCACUCUACAUAGAGUAAAAAUCUCAUGAACAAUUUCCUUUAAUUCACGUCCUCUUUAUCGCUUUAGAAAUCAUGUUUUUAUGUUCUCCUUCUGUUACCUCACAACAUAUGUUUAAUCGCCUACUAAAAGCAUAAGUGAAUAGUUUCAUUGUUGAAUAAAAUAUUACAGAAGCAGAUAUAAUGUUUAAACCCACACACAAAAACUUAUAUAUGUUAAAAAAAUCACUAAACAAAAUAACUAAAAAAUAUGUCUUCAAAGAUAACUUUUCACUAGUAUGUAUAGUACGCUAUACCGACUCGUUAAAAUAGAAAUGGAAUAUCACGAGACUCACAAGUCACAAUGCUAGCAAUUCAAAUAAUGGUCCUUUGUCCCUUUGGAGGAAACACUAUAAUGAGUCUGAAGAUAUCUAUUUCUUUAGUGGUAUAUUAAAGUGACAAUAAUUAACAAUGUAUACUGAAUUUAAUAACCAAUGUGGUAUUACAAUGUUUAUUUCAUCGGUUUGCCUUUCACAUUGGGUGAGAGUUUGACAAGAACAAAAUAAUAAUAAAUGUAAAAUAAUCUCUACUUUUAUGAAGCACCUAUGCCUAACUAAUAAUGGAACACAAAUAUGUCAUAUUCUACAACGGCAUCUCCUUUUGUAUAAUCAACCGAAUAAAACUUAGCCUGAGCAUAUCCACGUACGAAACGAAAUGCCCCGGUUCCACCAACUAUGGCCAUUUCUCUAACAGGUUCACUCAUGAUCAUGUUUCUACCCAAUAUGCUAAGUGUGCUUCCAUUAAAAUGUCCAUCAGUGAAUGCCAUGGUCAUCACCAUCAUUAGUCCCAUCUCCUCUUGUGAUAUAGAAGUGUAAAUUCCUUGAGCCUUACCCACAAGUUUCGAGUCACGUUCGGGCCCAGCCGUCAAUGGAUCGUCCAUGGCCACAACCGUCCCGAAUGGCAACGCAUU
rnacentral:lncRNA from 1 species